GAUUACACGGAGUUAGGUUUGUUGUUUGUACAUUCUUUUGUAAUCUGUGUUUGACAUUUCUCUUCACAAAUAGAAAUUAUUGUUAAGAUCAUAAAUGAAAACACCUUUUAUUAUACAAUUAAGAUUACAUUUAACAGUUUAGUGAGAAAUUUUUAUUUAGUCAACUUUCACUUAUAUAUUAUACGAUCUAUUCUAAUAAAAACAUUUUAGUUGUAAUAGAAACAAUCAUUUUAACUGAGUGAACUUUUUUUGACAUUCCAAACGUCGUCUUUUUUCUCGAUCUCUAAAAAUUACAGUUAAUUAUACUUUUCCGUUAUUUAAACCAUAAUUUUGCAAUUCACAGUUUUCUUACCGAUGCGCAGAAUUCAUUUUCUCUUAAAGUCAAAUCAAUACUAACCCGUGUGAACAGAAAUAACCUCUAGAAAGGAAGACAACUAUUAAACCUAUUACAGUAAGAACGUUUGAUCGAGCUGUUGCAUUCAGAAAUUUAACCGGAAGAAGAAAGAAUAUUGAUAACAAUGCCUGAUCCGUGCCAAGGUUGUGACAAAAAUAAAAAAAAAGAUUGCUGUCAGACUUCAUGUAAUUGUACCUCGGAUUGCAAAUGUGGUAAAGAUUGUCCAUGUGAAAAAGGUGGCUCCAAAUCAAACGAAAAGAAAUAACUGGUUAUUCAUUAAACACUUCACAAAUGUAACUUUAACUUAAAUAAAGAGCGAACUCAAAAGUA